AAAUAACAUCUUUAUCCAACAUCUCAUGGUAAUUCCAUGUUACUAUAGAAUUAAUAAAAAUAAUUAUUCCGAAUUAAUGUUCUUAAAAUUAGACUCAUAUGGAUCCGUGCCGUAUACUCUCGCGCAGAUUAUACGUAUACAGAGCGAAUCUAAGAAGUCUUAUUUUAUUAGAUUGUGCUUUUGUUGUGUGUAUUAAUUCUAUAAUCUUUCUUUUCACAAAAUAUAAAAAAAAUUCAAAUAAACUCAUAAGAAUUUUCACACUGACAAUUAACCCCGGUCAAGUUGCAUUACUUAAGAUCCACUCCCCAAAAACCUUCGAGAUAUCAGAUAAGGAGUGCCUCUCGCUUACUUGGUCAGUUUCAGUGUCAGGAUAACCUUGUUAUGCAAUUUUCUUGCUGGGCAGAGUAUUGCUGUUUGCAGCUUAUCUAGGUCAAAAUUUGAAUUCAACUGAUGGACAAGAAGUGCGCGUCUCCUUGCUGUUCAUAUUUAAUGUGUUUUCAAGCUAUAUACACAAGGAUUAAGGCUGGAAUAUCAACUUCUGCUCAUUCGUCGUAAGGUUAAAUCAACCAGUGGUGCAGGGAAUUGAUUGUACAGUCAGCCUUGAUUGCAUCGAUCAGAUUCUUCGCCCGUGAAAAUUAUACAAAGGAAUGCAACAUUUUGCUUUUACUUUAGAAGGUGGAUUCUCCUGUUCAUUUCUUUCAUUCGUGGGACUUAACUAUAUGCGUGAUUAAAAUCAAUGGAUCCGCCACUUUGUGGAACUUAGUAUUGUAAGGCAGACGCGUACUUUGAAGGACCUGGAUGUGAUUACUGUGACCCACUUUUCACUAGGAAUAUAAAUUUUGUCAAGCAGUAAUUUUUGAGA